GAUGAACGCUGGCGGCGUGCCUAAUACAUGCAAGUCGAGCGAACGGACGAGAAGCUUGCUUCUCUGAUGUUAGCGGCGGACGGGUGAGUAACACGUGGAUAACCUACCUAUAAGACUGGGAUAACUUCGGGAAACCGGAGCUAAUACCGGAUAAUAUUUUGAACCGAAUGGUUCAAAAGUGAAAGACGGUCUUGCUGUCACUUAUAGAUGGAUCCGCGCUGCAUUAGCUAGUUGGUAAGGUAACGGCUUACCAAGGCAACGAUGCAUAGCCGACCUGAGAGGGUGAUCGGCCACACUGGAACUGAGACACGGCCCAGACUCCUACGGGAGGCAGCAGUAGGGAAUCUUCCGCAAUGGGCGAAAGCCUGACGGAGCAACGCCGCGUGAGUGAUGAAGGUCUUCGGAUCGUAAAACUCUGUUAUUAGGGAAGAACAUAUGUGUAAGUAACUGUGCACAUCUUGACGGUACCUAAUCAGAAAGCCACGGCUAACUACGUG
rnacentral:rRNA from 1 species